GGGGAUGUGGUCUAGUGGUAUGGCGUUCCCUUCGCAUGGGAAAGGUCCGGGGUUCAAUUCCCCGCUUCUCCA
rnacentral:tRNA from 1 species